GGUAGCGGAUUCUCAGAAGUGAAGAACUAAAUACUCCAGAAGACUUUGAAUUCAGAGGGAAAGAUAAAACUGCUCAAAAGUCACAAGACUCUCUCUUUUUUUGCUGCUUGUCUUGGCAGUACAUCUUGCCUUCAGCUUCAGAGUGGGAGUGAAAAACAUCUGCUUUCCUGAUCUCUUAUAGUCUAACAUAGAAUUUGAUGGACAGAAUGUUGGUACCAGCUAUGGAAGAGCUGUUCAGCCUCAACUCCAACUCUUGCACUGAGGUUUAAUAUCUUUUGAUACAACAAAGACAGGUCGGACUUUCAGCUAAAAACUGGUGUCUUGAAUACAGUAACCUAAUUACAAACCUUAAUGAUUAAAUGAGUAACCUUUUCCAUUCCAAAAAGAAAGGAAAAAACUCUGAAGAUUAACAAAAGUUGUAUUUUCUUCAUCAUUGAGCAUUAUUUGAUAUUUUUAUUACUAAGAAAUCUUUACCCAUCAUAGCUUGCAGCUAGAUGUUUUAUUUGUGAGCCAUGGCUUCUCAAGGGACGAGAGAUUUACUGCAACAUCACAACUGUUCACUGAUGUUUAAACUGCUGUAUCUGGAAUGAAACAGAAAAACCCUGAAUGAAAUAGAACUGGGAAGUUCUGUAACCUGUGUAUUAUCUAUGUAGGUUGCUCAGAAAGUAAUGCACCUUAUUCAUUUCAAUGGAAACUAAAAUAGAUGGUAAGAGCACCAGAACAUGGUUGAUGAAAAUGAGUUCUCAGCUACAAAACACUGUUCUUCAACACAGACACCACUAUUAACUAUGUAGUUUCACCAAAAACGAACAAGAGACUGCAUUCCAUGUCUGUAAAAAUCUGUACCAGCAAAAGUGACCAGCUGUUACUGUUGCCACUGCUGAAAAGGAUCACCUACCUCCUCACUGUGCUCACAUCCGCAGUUUGGUCUCCAGAAACGUUCACUAAGUGUUGAGAAAUGUCAAUAGAUGCAAUUUUUUUUUUUUUUUUUUUUUUUUUUUUUUUUUUUUUUUUUUUUUUUUUUCUGUAUGGAGGUAUUCAGUUUUCAGGUAUACAUUUACUUCCACAUCAGAUACAUUUUGUCAGACUGCCCCUCUGCUGCCAUCUGUGACAUUGCAACAAAAUGUAAUGGAAUAUUGGUGUGAAUCUCCAACCUUUACCUCUAUACCACCACCAUCUGCCUUUGAUGUCCUGUUCCAAAAAUAAUAAAUUUUACAUGAUGACUUGCAGAAGCAGUAACGACAUUGCAUAUGAAAUUUAGAUUAGGUAAUGUUUUUCAACAGUGAGCAUAGAAUGAUAGAUUGUGUGUUUUGUAGAUCCUUAAGAGUUGCAAGAAAUAGAUUUUCUAUUUUUUUGUCAUAUAACAUAUACCAAAAAUACCACUG
ensembl:lncRNA